rnacentral:rRNA from 1 species
UACGUAGGGGGCAAGCGUUGUCCGGAAUCAUUGGGCGUAAAGCGCGUGUAGGCGGCUCGAUAAGUCUGCUGUGAAAGUUCAGGGCUCAACCCUGAAAUGCCGGUGGAAACUGUCGAGCUAGAGUCCGGAAGAGGCGAGUGGAAUUCCUGGUGUAGCGGUGAAAUGCGCAGAUAUCAGGAGGAGCACCAAUGGCGAAGGCAGCUCGCUGGGACGGUACUGACGCUGAGACGCGAAAGCGUGGGAAGCAAACAGG